rnacentral:rRNA from 1 species
GGAUUUCGGAUGGGUUUGACCGGUCCGCCGUUUCGGUGUGCACUGGUCGUACCUAUCUUGCUGUCGGGGACGCGCUUCUGGCCUUAAUUGGCUGGGACGCGGAGUCGGCGAUGUUACUUUGAAAAAAUUAGAGUGUUCAAAGCAGGCCUAAGCUCUGAAUACAUUAGCAUGGAAUAACGCUAUAGGACUCUGGUCUUAUUGCGUUGGUCUUCGAGACCGGAGUAAUGAUUAAGAGGGACAGUUGGGGGCAUUCGUAUUUCAUUGUCAGAGGUGAAAUUCUUGGAUUUAUGAAAGACGAACUUCUGCGAAAGCAUUUGCCAAGGAUGUUUUCAUUAAUCAAGAACGAAAGUUGGGGGCUCGAAGACGAUCAGAUACCGUCCUAGUCUCAACCAUAAACGAUGCCGACUAGGGAUUGGCGGAUGUUAAUUCGAUGACUUCGCCAGCACCUUAUGAGAAAUCAAAGUUUUUGGGUUCCGGGGGGAGUAUGGUCG